AGGAGACGCUGGCGGCGUGCUUAACACAUGCAAGUCGAACGGAGUUACGUAUGAAGUAUUUCGGUACGGACUAUGUAACUUAGUGGCGAACGGGUGAGUAACACGUGGGCAACCUGCCCUUAACCGGGGAUAACAUUGUGAAAACAGUGCUAAUACCGCAUAACAGAGUAUCGGGCAUCCGAUAUUUUUAAAAGGAGCAAUCCGGUUUAGGAUGGGCCCGCGUCCAAUUAGCUAGUUGGUGAGGUAACGGCUCACCAAGGCUACGAUUGGUAGCCGAACUGAGAGGUUGAUCGGCCACAUUGGGACUGAGACACGGCCCAGACUCCUACGGGAGGCAGCAGUGGGGAAUAUUGGGCAAUGGGCGAAAGCCUGACCCAGCGACGCCGCGUGAAGGAUGAAGGUCUUCGGAUUGUAAACUUCUUUGAUCAGGGAAGAAAGAAAUGACGGUACCUGAAGAACAAGCCACGGCUAACUACGUG
rnacentral:rRNA from 1 species